GACGAACGCUGGCGGCGUGCUUAACACAUGCAAGUCGAACGAAGUGGCGGACGGGUGAGUCAUACGUAGGUAACCUGCCCUCCUGUAUGGGAUAAGCCUUGGGGACGGGGUCUAAUACCGGAUAAAGCAUGAUGGGCUCUCGGCCUAUCAGCUUGUUGGGGGGUUGAUGGGCUACGAAGGGGGUGACGGGUAGCCGGCCUGAGAGGCGGACCGGCGACAUUGGGACUGAGAGACGGCCCAGACUGCUACGGGAGGGAGCAGUGGGGGAUAUGGCACAAGUGGCGAAAGCCUGAUGCAGCGACGCCGCGUGGGGGAUGAAGGCUUUCGGGUUGUAAAACUCUUUCGCUAGCGAACGGGUAGGUGGAGAAGAAGCGCCGGCUAACUACGUGCCAGCCGCCGCGGUAAUAC
rnacentral:rRNA from 1 species